rnacentral:rRNA from 1 species
AGGUGCACCGCUGGGUAGCUACGCCCGGCAGAGAUAACCGCUGAAAGCAUCUAAGUGGGAAACUCGCCCCAAGAUUAGGCCACCCACUCCGUUAAGGAGGUAAGACCCCUGGGAGACUACCAGGUUGAUAGGCGGCAUGGGUAAGGACAGCAAUGUCUUGAGCUAAGCCGUACUAAUGGUCGAGGGCUUAAUCUCA